rnacentral:rRNA from 1 species
GUCUUUUUGAUUAAUAAUUUAAAGUCUAAUCUGCCCACUGAUAUAAUAUUAAAGGGCUGCAGUAUUUUGACUGUACAAAGGUAGCAUAAUCAUUAGUCUCUUAAUUGGUGACUUGUAUGAAAGAUUUGAUGAGAUAUAUACUGUCUCUUUUUAAUUUGUAAAAUUUAAUUUUUUAGUUAAAAAGCUAAAAUAUAUUUAAAAGACGAGAAGACCCUAUAGAGUUUUAUAUUUAAUUAAAUUAAAAUUUUUUGUAAGAUUUAAAAUUUUAAUAUAUUUAAAUAUUGUGUUGGGGUGACAAAAAAAUUUAAAUAACUUUUUUUAUAAAUUAACAUUUAUUAAUGAAUAUAUGAUCCGUAAUUUACGAUUAUAAGAAAAAAUUACCUUAGGGAUAACAGCGUAAUUUUUUUUUUUAGUUCAAAUAAGAAUUAAAGUUUGCGACCUCGAUGUUGGAUUAAGAUAAAAUUUAAAUGUAAAAGUUUAAAAUUUUUGAUCUGUUCGAUCAUUAAAAUCUUACA